GCGAGUGUAGCUCAACUUGGUGAGAGCACCUGACUGUGGCUCAGGGUGUUGCCGGUUCAAAUCCGGUCACUCGCCCCA
rnacentral:tRNA from 1 species